UUGGAGGGCAAGUCUGGUGCCAGCAGCCGCGGUAAUUCCAGCUCCAAUAGCGUAUAUUAAAGUUGUUGCAGUUAAAAAGCUCGUAGUUGAAUUUCGGGAUCAAUUUAUCGGUCGUGCCUCUGGUAUGCACUGGUAUUAUUGAUUUCUACCUUCUGACGAACCAUGAUGUCAUUAAUUUGGUGUCAUGGGGAAUCAGGACUGUUACUUUGAAAAAAUUAGAGUGUUUAAAGCAAGCACACGCUUGAAUACAUUAGCAUGGAAUAAUGAAAUAGGACGUUUGACCCUAUUUUGUUGGUUUCUAGGAUCGACGUAAUGAUUAAUAGGGAUAGUUGGGGGCAUUAGUAUUCAAUUGUCAGAGGUGAAAUUCUUGGAUUUAUUGAAGACUAACUACUGCGAAAGCAUUUGCCAAGGAUGUUUUCAUUAAUCAAGAACGAAAGUUAGGGGAUCGAAGACGAUCAGAUACCGUCCUAGUCUUAACCAUAAACUAUGCCGACUAGGGAUCGGAUGAUGUUAAUUUUUAAUGACUCAUUCGGCGCCUUACGGGAAAC
rnacentral:rRNA from 1 species